rnacentral:rRNA from 1 species
UACGUAGGGUGCGAGCGUUAAUCGGAAUUACUGGGCGUAAAGCGUGCGCAGGCGGUCUCGUAAGCUGGGUGUGAAAGCCCCGGGCUUAACCUGGGAAUGGCAUUCAGGACUGCGAGGCUCGAGUGUGGCAGAGGGAGGUGGAAUUCCACGUGUAGCAGUGAAAUGCGUAGAGAUGUGGAGGAACACCGAUGGCGAAGGCAGCCCCCUGGGCUAACACUGACGCUCAUGCACGAAAGCGUGGGGAGCAAACAGG